AACAAAUCUCAGAACUCUCUCAUGUGCUUUGAACUCUUCCCUCUCCGAGACUUCAAGAAGAGAACUGGCCAUAUAUACAGGACGGCAUGCAAAUAGGGCCUCCCUGUGCUGAUGAAAACCAGCCCAGCCCUCAUCCUUACAGCUCUGCAGAGGAUCCCAGUCCUGGAUGUCAAGCAGUUCCUAUUUAGUGAUCAGCACUGAGCACAGAAGUUUCACCAUGGCGCUGGUGCUGAGAUGGGUUUUAUUUCUGGCUACUUUAAAAGGUGUCCUGUGUGAGGAGCAACUGGUGGAGUCCGGGGGAGGCUUGGUGCAGCCUGGAGGGUCCCUGAGACUCUCUUGCGUGGCAUCAGGAUUCACCUUCAGUAGCUAUUACAUGAACUGGAUCCGCCAGGCUCCAGGGAAGGGGCUGGAGUGGAUCUCAAUGAUUAGCAAUGAUGGUAGCAGCACAAAGUACGCAGACUCCGUGAAGGGCCGAUUCACCAUCUCCAGGGACAACGGCAAGAACACGCUGUAUCUGCAGAUGAGCAGCCUGAGACCCGAGGACACGGCUGUGUAUUACUGUGCCAGAGACACAGUGAGGGGACUUCAGUGUUAG